UGAUCUUUGAGAUAUACCAAGAAAUUCUUCAGUGCUUUGAGGACUGCAAGAAGUUCUAGCAGAUUGGAAUGCACAUUGUUUGUCAUGAAACUCCAUUCUUCCUGUGCAAAGUCGUGGAGACAAUGGGCGCCCCAUCCCCAUUGGCUGGCAUCUGUUGUCACUGCUAUCCAUGUGAUGUCUCCUAGUGGAAACCCCCUGGAAAGGUGUUCUUUGUUCAGCCACCAGAUCAGAGAAUGGCGUACGGCCCGGGAUAACUUGAUGGGUUGGAGUAAAUUCUUGGAAGAAAAUUGCAUCAGGAAAUUGGCUUGAAAUGGUCUCAUCCUCCAUUGUGCCCAUCUGGUCAGCCCUAUCGUGGAUGACAUAGAUCCAAGGAGGCUCAUUACUGCCUUUGCAGGAACAAUACUGGACUUUAUCAUCUU